ACUCGUCUGAGCGAGGUAAAAUUAGCUCAUUAGGCUCAGAGCGUCAGCCUGUAGAAAAUUGCAGGCUGGGUUGAG
rnacentral:ribozyme from 1 species